UACGGGGGGGGCAAGCGUUGUUCGGAAUUACUGGGCGUAAAGGGCUCGUAGGUGGCCAACUAAGUCAGACGUGAAAUCCCUCGGCUUAACCGGGGAACUGCGUCUGAUACUGGAUGGCUUGAGUUUGGGAGAGGGAUGCGGAAUUCCAGGUGUAGCGGUGAAAUGCGUAGAUAUCGGGAGGAACACCAGUGGCGAAGGCGGCACUCUGGGCCGGUACUGACGCUGAGGAGCGAAAGCGUGGGGAGCGAACAGG
rnacentral:rRNA from 1 species